rnacentral:sRNA from 1 species
UACCUUCGGUAGGUGAGGUUACCACAGGGAUUAGGAUAUUUCCUGAGAUUGCUGCCGCGAGUUUGUGGAGACACAGGCGAGAUGGUUAGCAGGCUAUGUCGAAGACUAAGGCAUAACCUAACGCAAUUUUAUGCCCUGUGAUACUAAAGCUUGAACGAUA